AACUUUUCAUCUCUGCUGAUUAGGGCUAUCAUCAGUUCAUAUGCAAAACCAUUACUUGUCCUCCUGUAAAAAUUACUGCCCACAGUUCCUGUCCAGCCCACUUUUUUUCUUUUCCUUUUCCUUUUUCCUUUUUCAUUUAAAUAAAUCUGUAUAACGCCGGCCAUUAAAGUCAGGGAACAGGUGCCCAAUUUCACACGAAAGGUCUUCUAUUUGGGUUAAUUAUAGAGGAAACACUAUGAGAAGAACUGGCGUUUCAGAGUUAUUUCUUUUCUGGUGCUGAUCAUAGGUCAGCUAGUGAUGGGUCCUUCUAUGUAAUGGCCAUGCCACCAACUUAGACUUUUUUACACGUCAUGUCUGCUUCUGAAAAGCUGUUUAUAGUUCCAACUUCAGCAGACGAAGGUAAUGUAUUUUGAAAGAAAAAUUGAGAAAAUGGUGAUUAAGCCUCGUUAACUCGUAAGCCACAAGCUGUGAAUGCUGAGUUGCGUUUGUGUUUGUUGUCACCCUUGUGGCUCCAAGCCCUAGCUAAUCAUUAUCAAAAUUUCCUGUAAUCCAAUUUCAUUAAGAAGCAGAAACCAUGAAGAAAAUAAUGGUAAAUAUGGCCAAAUCAAAGAAAGAGACACGAACUAAUGCAUGUAGGUUUCUAUUUUGACAACGUUAUUUCAUUUUUUUAACUCCUUUGUCUUUUGUUUUUCUUGUCCAAG
rnacentral:lncRNA from 1 species